AUCAACUUUCGAUGGUAGGAUAGAGGCCUACCAUGGUGGUAACGGGUAACGGGGUGUUAGGGCACGACACCGGAGAGGGAGCCUGAGAAACGGCUACCACAUCCAAGGAUGGCAGCAGGCGCGCAAAUUACCCAAUCCCGACACGGGGAGGUAGUGACAAUAAAUAACAAUACGGGGUUCUUUCGGAUCUCGUAAUUGGAAUGAGUACAAUUUAAAUCUCUUAACGAGGAACAAUUGGAGGGCAAGUCUGGUGCCAGCAGCCGCGGUAAUUCCAGCUCCAAUAGCGUAUAUUAAAGUUGUUGCAGUUAAAAAGCUCGUAGUUGAAUUUCGGGGUUAGUAGGUUGGUCAUGCCUCUGGUAUGUACUGGUCUCACUGAUUCCUCCUUCCUUAUGAACCGUAAUGCCAUUAAUUUGGUGUUGCGGGGAAUUUGGACUGUUACUUUGAAAAAAUUAGAGUGUUUAAAGCAGGCUAACGCUUGAAUACAUUAGCAUGGAAUAAUGAAAUAGGACGUUCGAUCUUAUUUUGUUGGUUUCUAGGAUUGACGUAAUGAUUAAUAGGGAUAGUUGGGGGCAUUAGUAUUCAAUUGUCAGAGGUGAAAUUCUUGGAUUUAUUGAAGACUAACUACUGCGAAAGCAUUUGCCAAGGAUGUUUUCAUUAAUCAAGAACGAAAGUUAGGGGAUCGAAGACGAUCAGAUACCGUCGUAGUCUUAACCAUAAACUAUGCCGACUAGGGAUCGGAUGAUGUUAAUUUUUUAAUGACUCAUUCGGCGCCUUACGGGAAACCAAAGUGUUUGGGUUC
rnacentral:rRNA from 1 species